UUAAAGGGAGCGUAGGCUGGAGAUUAAGUGUGUUGUGAAAUGUAGACGCUCAACGUCUGAAUUGCAGCGCAUACUGGUUUCCUUGAGUACGCACAACGUUGGCGGAAUUCGUCGUGUAGCGGUGAAAUGCUUAGAUAUGACGAAGAACUCCGAUUGCGAAGGCAGCUGACGGGAGCGCAACUGACGCUUAAGCUCGAAGGUGCGGGUAUCAAACAGGAUUAGAUACCCUGGUAGUCCGCACAGUAAACGAUGGAUGCCCGCUGUUGGUACCUGGUAUCAGCGGCUAAGCGAAAGCAUUAAGCAUCCCACCUGGGGAGUACGCCGGCAACGGUGAAACUCAAAGGAAUUGACGGGGGCCCGCACAAGCGGAGGAACAUGUGGUUUAAUUCGAUGAUACGCGAGGAACCUUACCCGGGCUUGAAUUGCAGAGGAAGGAUUUAGAGAUAAUGACGCCCUUCGGGGUCUCUGUGAAGGUGCUGCAUGGUUGUCGUCAGCUCGUGCCGUGAGGUGCCGGCUUAAGUGCCAUAACGAGCGCAACCCCUCUCUUCAGUUGCCAUCAGGUAAUGCUGGGCACUCUGGAGACACUGCCACCGUAAGGUGUGAGGAAGGUGGGGAUGACGUCAAAUCAGCACGGCCCUUACGUCCGGGGCUACACACGUGUUACAAUGGCCGGUACAGAGGGAUGGUGUAAUGCAAAUUGCAUCAAAUCUUGAAAGCCGGUCCCAGUUCGGACUGGGGUCUGCAACCCGACCCCACGAAGCUGGAUUCGCUAGUAAUCGCGCAUCA
rnacentral:rRNA from 1 species